AUUUGAUUAGAUUGAUAUUUGAGGUGAACUGGUUUUGGAUGAGAAAGUAACCUGAUGAUCGAGAUUGGAUGAUCCACAAUAUUUCUCGAGCUGUUGGCUGUGGUACUCUGUUAUCACUGCCGUGUCGUCAUAAAGGGGAGGCGAUAUGAAGGACAACAUGACAUACUGAUGAAAACAAGGGUCGCGGGGGAACCUGGAGCCUAUCCCAAGGAGCAUCGGGCACAAGGCAGGGUACACCCUGGACAGGGUGCCAGUCCAUCACAGGGCACACAAUCACACACACAUUCAUACACACAAAUCAGCCUACCAUGCAUGUCUUAUGAAGACAUGCUUCAACAGACUGGGGGAGGAAACCGGAGUACCUGGAGGAAACCCCCACAGCACGGGAGAACAUGCA
ensembl:lncRNA